CAGGCGCACACCAUUUACGUCACUCCCACACCGGGAACCUUUUAUUCCGGCUGCUGCUCAAAAUUAACCAAGUGGCGAAAGGGGAAGGCGGGAUGGAUGCGGGUCUAUGCCACCUCCGGGAAUGGCACCCGGUGGGUAUGUCAAGCCUGGCACCCGGCGCGACAACCCCGCCCCAGAGAUCAAUGACUUGAUCAAUCAGGCUUCCAGGAUCUGUUCUAUUUUGUCUUUGAACAAUUGAAGCAUACAGAGGAGAUGUCAGAGAUAGAGCUAAUCACUCCUGCACUACGAAUAGCACACGUGACUUGUGGCAAGAGUUGCAUACCAUCGCAGACUUAAAAGCCAAACGUAGUGGUGCGGCCAACUUCACGGCCUCUCUCCUAGAUGAGCUCAAUUGCUAUUACGUUUGAUUGGAUGUCUGAGCAUCUGAGGAAAGUCACUGCUAUAGCCUGCAACUUGGUCAUCUCUGAGGUACACAGACGUUGCCAGCGAGUGGACAGUCGCAAGGUUGCAGGACUGGACGGCGUCCCAGGACGAGUACUAAGGACAUGCACAGCACAACUGGCUGUGCAUUUACAGAGAUUUUUAAUCUCUCCCUCUCCCAGUGUAGAGUGCCCUCCUGCUUCAAAUUAUCCACCAAUGUCCCUGUACCAAAAAGACCAAGGUAACAUGCCUGAACAACUAGUGUCCUGUCGUACUCACCUCAAUAAUAAGAAAAUGCUUUGAGAUGCUGGUCAAGGCCUACAUCUGUAGCAUGCUAUCACCCAAACUGGACCCCCUACAAUUUGCCUACUGACACAACUGAUCGACAGAUGACAUAGUAGCCACUGGUCUACAUACUGUCCUUACAUAUCUGGAGAAGAAAGAUACUUAUGUGUGUAACCCUUAGGUUCAGCUAGUGGUUUAAUCUAGGGGAAGACAGCCUCUUCCACACUCUUCCGGCCACACAAAAAAUCUUGUUUGGGUGGAUGCUGUGUGAUAUGUUCCCAUACAAAUCAGUACUGCAAAAUAACAAACAGUAUACAAUAUGCAAUUAAACGAUUGUGCUUUAUAGUUCUUAAUUUGACUAUAGGUUAGUAAAGAAACCAAACAGAAAAAAGGCCCAUUCUCAUGAAACAAACUAAUGUGCAAUAUUGGAGCUCAUGGU